rnacentral:rRNA from 1 species
CGGCGGACGGGUGAGUAAUUCCUAGGAAUCUGCCUGGUAGUGGGGGACAACGUUUCGAAAGGAACGCUAAUACCGCAUACGUCCUACGGGAGAAAGCAGGGACCUUCGGGCCUUGCGCUAUCAGAUGAGCCUAGGUCGGAUUAGCUAGUUGGUGAGGUAAUGGCUCACCAAGGCGACGAUCCGUAACUGGUCUGAGAGGAUGAUCAGUCACACUGGAACUGAGACACGGUCCAGACUCCUACGGGAGGCAGCAGCC